GAUGAACGCUAGCGAUAGGCUUAACACAUGCAAGUCGAGGGGCAGCAUGGUCUUAGCUUGCUAAGACUGAUGGCGACCGGCGCACGGGUGCGUAACGCGUAUGCAACUUGCCUCACAGAGGGGGAUAACCCGUCGAAAGACGGACUAAUACCGCGUACACUUGGGAUAGGGCAUCCUGACCCGAGGAAAUGAAAUUCGCUGUGAGAUAGGCAUGCGUCCCAUUAGCUAGUUGGUGAGGUAACGGCUCACCAAGGCGACGAUGGGUAGGGGAACUGAGAGGGUGAACCCCCGCACUGGUACUGAGACACGGACCAGACUCCUACGGGAGGCAGCAGUGAGGAAUAUUGGUCAAUGGGCGAGAGCCUGAACCAGCCAAGUCGCGUGAAGGAUGACUGUCUUAUGGAUUGUAAACUUCUUUUAUACGGGAAUAACAAGAGCCACGUGUGGCUCCCUGCAUGUACCGUAUGAAUAAGCAUCGGCUAACUCCGUG
rnacentral:rRNA from 1 species